rnacentral:misc_RNA from 1 species
GUAGGUGAACCUGCGGAAGGAUCAUUAGCGAGAUUGUUGGUGGGUUGUGUUUGGUGGGUGGGUUGUGGUUGGGGUGGGUGUUGGUGGGGUGGGUGUUGUUGUUGUCUGUGGUUGUUUGCGGGGUGGGGAAUCGUCCUGCAGUUGCCACAUUGUGUUGUAUGACCACAGUGCCACAUUGUGUUGUAUAAGCACAGUGCCACAUUGUGUUGUAUGACUACACGCAUCACGCACAUCACCUAUCACACACAUC